rnacentral:rRNA from 1 species
GACGAACGCUGGCGGCGUGCCUAAUACAUGCAAGUUGAGCGCUGAAGGUUGGUACUUGUACCAACUGGAUGAGCAGCGAACGGGUGAGUAACGCGUGGGGAAUCUGCCUUUGAGCGGGGGACAACAUUUGGAAACGAAUGCUAAUACCGCAUAAAAACUUUAAACACAAGUUUUAAGUUUGAAAGAUGCAAUUGCAUCACUCAAAGAUGAUCCCGCGUUGUAUUAGCUAGUUGGUGAGGUAAAGGCUCACCAAGGCGAUGAUACAUAGCCGACCUGAGAGGGUGGUCGGCCACAUUGGGACUGAGACACGGCCCAAACUCCUACGGGAGGCAGCAGUAGGGAAUCUUCGGCAAUGGACGAAAGUCUGACCGAGCAACGCCGCGUGAGUGAAGAAGGUUUUCGGAUCGUAAAACUCUGUUGGUAGAGAAGAACGUUGGGGAGAGUGGAAAGCUCAUCAAGUGACGGUAACUACCCAGAAAGGGACGGCUAACUACGUG